rnacentral:rRNA from 1 species
UGGUGGAGUGAUUUGUCUGGUUAAUUCCGAUAACGAACGAGAUCGCAUCCUACUAAAUAGUAGCUUUAAUCGCCUACACGGGUGAAGGGCGUUGGCUUCAUAUCGCUGGGAAACUGGUUGGUGUGGACUGGCGUUUGGAUCCUUGGCGAAUUGGGGUAUUGCUUCUUAGAGGGACUGUCGGUGAUUAACCGAAGGAAGUGCGGCAAUAACA